rnacentral:sRNA from 1 species
UGACCGCUUCUAUUUUUUAGAGGUUCAGGGCCUACGGACAGCCCGGUCAACUGCCGA